CGGUUGAUCCUGCCGGACCCGACUGCUAUCGGAGUGGGACUAAGCCAUGCGAGUCGAACGCCUCCAUGACCUCACUGUUGGAGACGUGGCAUACGGCUCAGUAACACGUAGUCAACCUAACCUGGAGACGCGGACAACCCCGGGAAACUGGGACUAAUCCGCGAUAGACCAAGACAUCUGGAAGGAGUCUUGAUCCAAAGGGAUGCGUGAGCAUGUUUACGCAUUCGCUUCAGGAUGGGACUGCGGCCGAUCAGGUUGUUGGCGGGGUAAUGGCCCACCAAGCCUAUAACCGGUACGGGCUUUGAGAGAAGGAGCCCGGAGAUGGACACUGAGACAAGGGUCCAGGUCCUACGGGGCGCAGCAGGCGCGAAACCUUCGCAAUAUGCGAAAGCAUGACGAGGCUACUCCGAGUGCCCUUCGCUAAGAAGGGCUUUUCCUAGGUGUAAAUAGCCUAGGGAAUAAGGGGAGGGCAAGUCUGGUGUCAGCCGCCGCGGUAAUACCAGCUCCUCGAGUGGUCGGGACGAUUAUUGGGCCUAAAGCAUCCGUAGCCUGCUCCGUAGGUCUUCUGUUAAAUCCAACGGCUCAACCGUUGGGCCGCAGGAGAUACCACGGGGCUAGGAGGCGGGGGAGGCCGACGGUACUCCAUGCGUAGGGGUAAAAUCCUCUGAUCCAUGGAAGACCACCAGUGGCGAAGGCGGUCGGCCAGAACGCGCUCGACGGUGAGGGAUGAAAGCUGGGGGAGCGAACCGGAUUAGAUACCCGGGUAGUCCCAGCUGUAAACGAUGCGGGCUAGGUGAUGGAGCGGCUACGAGCCGCUCCGGUGCCGCAGGGAAGCCGUUAAGCCCGCCGCCUGGGGAGUACGGUCGCAAGACUGAAACUUAAGAGGAAUUGGCGGGGGAGCACCACAAGGGGUGAAGCCUGCGGUUC
rnacentral:rRNA from 1 species